ACUCCUACGGAAGGCAGCAGUGGGGAAUUUUGGACAAUGGGCGCAAGCCUGAUCCAGCCAUGCCGCGUGCGGGAAGAAGGCCUUCGGGUUGUAAACCGCUUUUGUCAGGGAAGAAAUCUUUUGGGCUAACACCUCGGAAGGAUGACGGUACCUGAAGAAUAAGCACCGGCUAACUACGUGCCAGCAGCCGCGGUAAU
rnacentral:rRNA from 1 species